rnacentral:rRNA from 1 species
CGAAACCAGGUGAUCUACCCUUGGUCAGGUUGAAGUUCAGGUAACACUGAAUGGAGGACCGAACCGACUUACGUUGAAAAGUGAGCGGAUGAACUGAGGGUAGCGGAGAAAUUCCAAUCGAACCUGGAGAUAGCUGGUUCUCUCCGAAAUAGCUUUAGGGCUAGCCUCAAGUGAUGAUUAUUGGAGGUAGAGCACUGUUUGGACGAGGGGCCCCUCUCGGGUUACCGAAUUCAGACAAACUCCGAAUGCCAAUUAAUUUAACUUGGGAGUCAGAACAUGGGUGAUAAGGUCCGUGUUCGAAAGGGAAACAGCCCAGACCACCAGCUAAGGUCCCAAAAUAUAUGUUAAGUGGAAAAGGAUGUGGCGUUGCCCAGACAACUAGGAUGUUGGCUUAGAAGCAGCCAUCAUUUAAAGAGUGCGUAAUAGCUCACUAGUCGAGUGACACUGCGCCGAAAAUGUACCGGGGCUAAACAUAUUACCGAAGCUGUGGAUUGUCCUUUGGACAAUGGUAGGAGAGCGUUCUAAGGGCGUUGAAGCAUGAUCGUAAGGACAUGUGGAGCGCUUAGAAGUGAGAAUGCCGGUGUGAGUAGCGAAAGACGGGUGAGAAUCCCGUCCACCGAUUGACUAAGGUUUCCAGAGGAAGGCUCGUCCGCUCUGGGUUAGUCGGGUCCUAAGCUGAGGCCGACAGGCGUAGGCGAUGGAUAACAGGUUGAUAUUCCUGUACCACCUAUAAUCGUUUUAAUCGAUGGGGGGACGCAGUAGGAUAGGCGAAGCGUGCGAUUGGAUUGCACGUCUAAGCAGUAAGGCUGAGUAUUAGGCAAAUCCGGUACUCGUU